GUGCUUACUUCUGUAGCACAUAUACUAAAAUUGGAGUAAUACAGAGAAGAUUAGUAUGGCCCCUGCACAAGGAUGACAUGCAAAUUUGUGAAGCAUUCCAUAUUUUU
rnacentral:snRNA from 1 species